rnacentral:rRNA from 1 species
CCUACGGGUGGCAGCAGUCGAGAAUCAUUCACAAUGGGGGAAACCCUGAUGGUGCGAAGCCGCGUGGGGGAAUGAAGGUCUUCGGAUUGUAAACCCCUGUCAUGUGGGAGCAAAUUAAAAAGAUAGUACCCCAAGAGGAAGAGACGGCUAACUCUGUGCCAGCAGCCGCGGUAAUACAGCGGUCUCAAGCGUUGUUCGGAAUCACUGGGCGUAAAGCGUGCGUAGGCUGUUUCGUAAGUCGUGUGUGAAAGGCGCGGGCUCAACCCGCGGACGGCACAUGAUACUGGGAGACUAGAGUAAUGGAGGGGGAACCGGAAUGCUCGGUGUAGCAGUGAAAUGCGUAGAUAUCGAGAGGAACACUCGUGGCGAAGGCGGGUUCCUGGACAUUAACUGACGCUGAGGCACGAAGGCCAGGGGAGCGAAAGGGAUUAGAUACCCUGGUAGUC